rnacentral:misc_RNA from 1 species
AAAUAAAAGUGAAAUUAAAAUUAUGGCACUUUUAAAACAAUCCAUAUCCACCUUGUGUGCAAUGUUUUAUGAGAAGCCUAAAAAACUUCUUUUAAUAACUUUAAUAAACUCCUUAUUUUUAACAAGAAAUCGUCUGAAAAAAAUAUCUAUUGAAUAACUUAAUUCAAAAAUA